UUCCGGUUGAUCCCGCCGGACCCCACUGCUAUCGGGAUGGGACUAAGACAUGCUAGUCGAGCGCCUUCUAGCCACGACGAAGGCGCGGCGCACAGCUCAGUAACACGUGGCUAACCUGCCCUUGGGAUAGGAACACCCCCGGGAAACUGGGGCUAAUUCCCAAUAGGCGAAGAACUCUGGAAUGAGUCUUCACCAGAAAGGACGUUUGCGUCAUGCUCGCAGGCGUCGCCUAAGGAUGGGGCCGCGACCGAUCAGGUUGUUGGUGAGGUAAUGGCCCACCAAGCCUAUAACCGGUGCGGGCCGUGAGAGCGGGAGCCCGGAGAUGGGCACUGAGACAAGGGCCCAGGUCCUACGGGGCGCAGCAGUCGCGGAAACUUUGCAAUACACGAAAGUGUGACAGGGUCAUCCCGAGUGCCGACCGCUGAGGUUGGCUUUUACCCAGUCUAGAAAGCUGGGGGAAUAAGGAGAGGGCAAGUCUGGUGUCAGCCGCCGCGGUAAUACCAGCUCUCCGAGUGGUGUGGACGUUUAUUGGGCCUAAAGCAUCCGUAGCUGGCUGAACA
rnacentral:rRNA from 1 species